rnacentral:rRNA from 1 species
GACGAACGCUGGCGGCGCGCCUAACACAUGCAAGUCGAGCGAAGAUAUACGCUGAUGAUCCUUCGGGUGAAUCUUGUAUAUACUUAGCGGCGGACGGGUGAGUAACACGUGAGCAACCUACCCUGGAGUGGGGAAUAACAUUCGGAAACGGAUGCUAAUACCGCAUAAUGUACAUUUUCGGCAUCGGAGAUGUACCAAAGAUUUAUCGCUCUGGGAUGGGCUCGCGCCUGAUUAGCUAGUUGGUGAGGUAAUGGCUCACCAAGGCAACGAUCAGUAGCCGGACUGAGUGGUUGAACGGCCACAUUGGGACUGAGACACGGCCCAGACUCCUACGGGAGGCAGCAGUGGGGGAUAUUGCACAAUGGGGGAAACCCUGAUGCAGCGACGCCGCGUGAACGAGGGACGGUCUUCGGAUUGUAAAGUUCUGUCAACGGGGACGAUAAUGACGGUACCCGUGGAGGAAGCCACGGCUAACUACGUGCCAGCCGCCGCC